rnacentral:misc_RNA from 1 species
AUGCCUUGUUGUUUCUUGUCUUAGGAUGAUGAUUAUACAAGCAUUAUCUUUUCUUCUGGAAGGUUUUCUUGAUCAUGAACGUAUCCGCAAUCACGUUGUAGAAAGAGUUCAUUUUCCAAUCUUGGGACUUUGUCUUUGGGCAGUUGGUUAUAUGUCAAUUGCAAGAGGUUUUUAGGCGUGUGGUUGUCAAAAUGGUUUUAAGGGUGUGCUAAGACAGGAAUGUCAGUGUUAUGCGAUAAAAACUCUCAAAUUCAGUGGUUGGCAACUUAUUCGGGAU